AUAUAUAUAUAUAUAAAUAAUCAAAUUAUGAUUUAAUUAAUGUGGACGUGAUUCUGAAGAAGUGGGUUUUGACAUUUUUGUACUGUUAGGUAGGGGGUGUGAGGGUCUGUAAGCUCGUGGGCAAGAGUAUAAACAAGGGGAUGAUGGGAAGUCAGGGCAGGCUUAUCCCCACCAAUGGUUCCAACUGAGAGGCGACUUUCUAAUGAACUACUGUCACUCUGUAGAAAGUAUGCCAUAGAAAAAAACGAUAAAAGUGUUUUAAAUUUGGUCGUAAUGAUCACUAGAAACGCUUUAAAAAUGGAUCAAAGAUGAUCAGAGUUUGACUUCAAACUAAAAAGCAUUAAUUCAACAUUGUUGAUAAGAUAAAGUGGUUACAAGUAGAUUAAAAAAAUUAUAACGUCACUCCUGAUAUGCAUAAUGGUAAAAGGAUGUUUUUAUUUCCUAAUAUAGUUGUACUUACAGGUGUUACAGGUGUAUUUGUAUUUUUAUAAUUACAAUCCACGGGUUUGUGGUGACAAAUGUGUUUGACAGGUGAGGUGUCACAUAGCUUUCCUUUAACAGCAGUGACUAUUCGUGCAAUCACAUUCUGGUUGCCAUGGAUACGACUUUGGCGCUUCAUUCCUGCUGCAGGAGAAGCGGCCGCAACAACACAGACACAUGUCAGCUCGCAGGCUGACUCAGCAAGCAGGGAUGAACGCUACCUCAAAGCGAAUCUGCACAUGUCGGAUCCCCUGAGGCAACAACUUCACUGGCUUUCAAGUAAAAACCCCGCAGGGAUGAACUGCCCCCUCCAACACACACACCUGGGACUGGAGUGAACCAUGAGGUGUGAGUUGCUGUGUUAACCUUCAGGUGUUGAACUCUGCAGAUCACAUCCGGUUUUACAUUUCCUGAUGGAGUGCCGGCCUCCCCCUGCUGGUGGGCUGUGUCUUCAGCCUGGGGGCUUUGUCCCUGCUGCGCUCCCCUCACAUCUCCACCAAACCCUCUACUGUGAUCCUGGCCCAGCUGGCCCUCACAGACGGCCUGGUGUUGCUGCAGUGGGUUCUCCAGGUUGGGGUGACGCUCUCCUCUGUGAUGGAGAGGAAGAUGAGCCGGCCGGUUGGGGGUUUGGCGGUCGUGAGGUCACUGUGCCAGCAGCUGCUGGAGAGCCACUACCUGGCCUCUCUGCUGCUGCUGGGUCUGCUGGGUUUGGAGGCCGCCUUGGUGUCCCGCUGGCCUCAGCAGACCCGGAGGUUUAGGACUUCUCUCUGGGCGCAGUUCAGCUGCCGGAUGGUCUGGACUUUGGUUCUGCUGGAAUUCACGCUUUUGCUGCACUCGAGACUUUUGGAGAUCUUCAGACAGCAGGUGUUCCCCCCAACGCUGCCUGGUGCCUCCCUCUUCCUGAGGUGGAUGUUGUGGAUGCUGAAUUCAUGGCUCCUUCAUGUUGUCUUUAACAAUGAACUACAAAAGAGGAGCUUGUCUCAAUAAAUGCUUCCAACAGUUCA